AGCAGCGUGGCUCAGUGGAAAGAGCCUGGGCUUCAGGGUCAGAGGUCACGGGUUCGACUCCCGGCUCUGCCA
rnacentral:tRNA from 1 species